GACAGAGGUCCCGAGCGUUAGGCGGAAUCACUGGGCUUAAAGCGUGUGUAGGCGGAGUUCUAAGUACCUUGUGAAAUCCCACGGCUUAACCGUGGAACUGCUUGGUAUACUGGUUCUCUUGGGCCACUUAGGGGCUACCGGAACAAACGGUGGAGCGGUGAAAUGCGUAGAUAUCGUUUGGAACGCCAAUGGUGAAAACAGGUAGCUGGGGAUGUGCCGACGCUGAGACACGAAAGCCAGGGGAGCAAACGGG
rnacentral:rRNA from 1 species